AGAUACCCUGGUAGUCCAUGCCGUAAACGUUGGGCACUAGGUGUGGGGGACAUUCCACGUUUUCCGCGCCGUAGCUAACGCAUUAAGUGCCCCGCCUGGGGAGUACGGCCGCAAGGCUAAAACUCAAAGGAAUUGACGGGGGCCCGCACAAGCGGCGGAGCAUGCGGAUUAAUUCGAUGCAACGCGAAGAACCUUACCAAGGCUUGACAUGUUCCUGACCGCCGUAGAGAUACGGUUUCCCCUUUGGGGCAGGUUCACAGGUGGUGCAUGGUUGUCGUCAGCUCGUGUCGUGAGAUGUUGGGUUAAGUCCCGCAACGAGCGCAACCCUCGUUCCAUGUUGCCAGCACGUAGUGGUGGGGACUCAUGGGAGACUGCCGGGGUCAACUCGGAGGAAGGUGGGGACGACGUCAAAUCAUCAUGCCCCUUAUGUCUUGGGCUUCACGCAUGCUACAAUGGCCGGUACAAUGGGUUGCGAUACUGUGAGGUGGAGCUAAUCCCAAAAAGCCGGUCUCAGUUCGGAUUGGGGUCUGCAACUCGACCCCAUGAAGUCGGAGUCGCUAGUAAUCGCAGAUCAGCAACGCUGCGGUGAAUACGUUCCCGGGCCUUGUACACACCGCCCGUCAAGUCACGAAAGUUGGUAACACCCGAAGCCGGUGGCCUAACCCUUGUGGGGGGAGCCGUCGAAGGUGGGACUGGCGAUUGGGACUAAGUCGUAACAAGGUAGC
rnacentral:rRNA from 1 species